UACGGGGGGGGGCAAGCGUUGUUCGGAAUUACUGGGCGUAAAGGGCUCGUAGGUGGCCAACUAAGUCAGACGUGAAAUCCCUCAGCUUAACUGGGGAACUGCGUCUGAUACUGGAUGGCUUGAGUUUUGGGAGAGGGAUGCGGAAUUCCAGGUGUAGCGGUGAAAAUGCGUAGAUAUCUGGAGGAACACCGGUGGCGAAAAGCGCUCUACUGGGGCCCUGCACUGACACUGAGGGGACGAAAAAGCUAGGGGGAGCAAUGGGG
rnacentral:rRNA from 1 species